AAGGCUUUUCGUUGACUGAGUCAAAUGUCUCGAUAAUGGUAGCCACAAAGUUAAUUUUAGUCAAACAAAAGCAUCUUCAGUUUUCCUCAACAAUCACCAAAAAUGGAUACGGAAUUGAGAUCCAAGGUAGCAAGAGUUUCAGAUGAAUUCAACUCCAAUGAAUUCUUUCAGUUUCCGAGAGAUCGAGCUGGCGUUGCUUUCCAGUCUACAGAAACAAACUCUAUGUUCGUCGUCACUGCUCAUUUGAAAGGUUAUACGCGAGGAAACAUAAAGGUUGAUCUUAACGAGAACAAGACUAAACUGGUGGUAACGUGUGAGAAGCCGGUCCAAGAAACUCUAACGAUUGGGCAUGAAGUGAUCAAGAAAGAUGUACAGAUUAGAAAAUUUACAAAGUCAAUCCAGAUUCCAGAUGGGGUAAUCGUGGACGAAAUUAUAACUAAUUUCAAUGAGGAAACCUCCAACCUGACUAUUACAAUGCCAAAGAGGUUGAAGGAGCCAGAGCUUGUUACCCAGACGCCUUGUACAAUUCUUAAAA
rnacentral:misc_RNA from 1 species